rnacentral:rRNA from 1 species
UGAACCUGCGGAAGGA